CUGUGGCUUGUCUGAAAAAACAUAGGCAAGGAGAAAAAGCUAAUUUCAAGAAAAAAACAAGGAUGGCUAACAGUGCUUUGAUGCUUCAGGUUCUUCCACUGGUUAUUGUCCUAGGGACCACAUGUUUGGGCGCUUCCCAUUCUUCUUUCUGGGCCAGCUGGAUGGAUGAAGCAAAGAAAGAAUAAAGAUAAAGGCUGCAAGUGAAUGAAUGAGGAGAGAAAACUAAGAUAAUGCAGUUGAUAAUCAGUUCAAGGCAGAGCAUUAUCCAUGGGGCCAUCGGUCCGGCCCUAGGGGAGAGCUUUUUAAAAUGUCUCUGUACGUAGCUUAGCUUUGCUCAUUACCAUAGCUUGUCUUUGAAACACUGGAGUGGCUUCCACUGGCAAGAGCUGUACCUGGGCAAGGAGCCACCAGUCCACUUUAAUAAACAACCCCCCAGCAUGGCUGGCCAUGGUCCUCAAGGGCUCCACUGGGACACUGGCC